rnacentral:misc_RNA from 1 species
UAGAGUUUUCAAAACUCCCAAACCCAUGUGAACUUACCUAUGUUGCCUCGGUGGGAGCCUACCCUGUACCUACCCUGUAACGGGUUACCCGGGAGCGGCCCCACCGGUGGACUUUUUAACUCUUGUUAUUUUAUGUAAUCUGAGAGUCUUAUUUUUAAUAAAUAA